UUGCUGACGAGCGGCGGACGGGUGAGUAAUGCUUGGGAACAUGCCUUGAGGUGGGGGACAACAGUUGGAAACGACUGCUAAUACCGCAUAAUGUCUACGGACCAAAGGGGGCUUCGGCUCUCGCCUUUAGAUUGGCCCAAGUGGGAUUAGCUAGUUGGUGAGGUAAUGGCUCACCAAGGCGACGAUCCCUAGCUGGUUUGAGAGGAUGAUCAGCCACACUGGGACUGAGACACGGCCCAGACUCCUACGGGAGGCAGCAGUGGGGAAUAUUGCACAAUGGGCGCAAGCCUGAUGCAGCCAUGCCGCGUGUGUGAAGAAGGCCUUCGGGUUGUAAAGCACUUUCAGUCAGGAGGAAAGGUUAGUAGUUAAUACCUGCUAGCUGUGACGUUACUGACAGAAGAAGCACCGGCUAACUCCGUGCCAGCAGCCGCGGUAAUACGGAGGGUGCGAGCGUUAAUCGGAAUUACUGGGCGUAAAGCGUACGCAGGCGGUUUGUUAAGCGAGAUGUGAAAGCCCCGGGCUCAACCUGGGAACUGCAUUUCGAACUGGCAAACUAGAGUGUGAUAGAGGGUGGUAGAAUUUCAGGUGUAGCGGUGAAAUGCGUAGAGAUCUGAAGGAAUACCGAUGGCGAAGGCAGCCACCUGGGUCAACACUGACGCUCAUGUACGAAAGCGUGGGGAGCAAACGGGAUUAGAUACCCCGGUAGUCCACGCCGUAAACGAUGUCUACUAGAAGCUCGGAGCCUCGGUUCUGUUUUUCAAAGCUAACGCAUUAAGUAGACCGCCUGGGGAGUACGGCCGCAAGGUUAAAAC
rnacentral:rRNA from 1 species